AUUGAACGCUGGCGGCAGGCCUAACACAUGCAAGUCGAGCGGAUGAAGGGAGCUUGCUCCUGGAUUCAGCGGCGGACGGGUGAGUAAUGCCUAGGAAUCUGCCUGGUAGUGGGGGAUAACGUCCGGAAACGGGCGCUAAUACCGCAUACGUCCCGAGGGAGAAAGUGGGGGAUCUUCGGACCUCACGCUAUCAGAUGAGCCUAGGUCGGAUUAGCUAGUUGGUGGGGUAAAGGCCUACCAAGGCGACGAUCCGUAACUGGUCUGAGAGGAUGAUCAGUCACACUGGAACUGAGACACGGUCCAGGCUCCUACGGGAGGCAGCAGUGGGGAAUAUUGGACAAUGGGCGAAAGCCUGAUCCAGCCAUGCCGCGUGUGUGAAGAAGGUCUUCGGAUUGUAAAGCACUUUAAGUUGGGAGAAAGGGCAGUAAGUUAAUACCUUGCUGUUUUGACGUUACCAACAGAAUAAGCACCGGCUAACUUCGUG
rnacentral:rRNA from 1 species